AAAAACAUGUCUUUUUGAAUUAAAUUUAAAGUCUAACCUGCCCACUGAAAAAAUUAAAUGGCCGCAGUAUUCUAACUGUGCAAAGGUAGCAUAAUCAUUAGACUUUUAAUUGAAGCCUGGAAUGAAUGGUUGGACGAAAUAUUAACUGUUUCAUUUUAAUUUUUAAUAGAAUUUUAUUUUUUAGUCAAAAAGCUUAAAUAAAUUUAAAAGACGAGAAGACCCUUUUAAUCUUUAUAUUUUAUUUAUUUUAAUUGUAAAGAUUAUUUUAUUAUUAAUAAUUUAAAAUAUUUUAUUGGGCUGAUAUUAAAAUUUAAAAACUUUUAAUUUUUAAAACCAUUAAUUUAUGAAAUAAUCAUCCAUUAAUAAUGAUUAGAAAAUUAAGUUACUUUAGGGAUAACAGCGUAAUUUUUUUGGAGAGUUCAUAUCGCUAAAAAAGAUUGCGACCUCGAUGUUGGAUUAAGAUAUAAUUUUGGGUGUAGCCGUUCAAAUUUUAAGUCUGUUCGACUUUUAAAUUCUUACAUGAUCUGAGUUCCAACCGGCGUAAGCCAGGUUGGUUUUUAUCUUUAAUAAAUAGUAACAUUUUAGUACGAAAGGACCAAAUGUUAAAAUAAUUAUAUUUUUUUAAAAGAAUAUUAUUAAAAUUAAAUAAACUAUUUUGGCAGAUUAGUGCAAUAAAUUUAGAAUUUAUUUAUGUAAUUUAUUUUACAAAUAGUACUUGUUUUUUAUAGAAUUAAUUAUGUCAUUAAUAGGAAGUUUAUUAUUAAUUAUUUGUGUUUUAGUAAGAGUUGCUUUUUUAACCUUAUUAGAGCGAAAAGUUUUAGGUUAUAUUCAAAUUCGUAAGGGACCU
rnacentral:rRNA from 1 species